rnacentral:rRNA from 1 species
GUCGAGCGGCAGCACGGGGGCUUGCUCCUGGUGGCGAGCGGCGGACGGGUGAGUAAUGCCUAGGAAUCUGCCUGUUAGUGGGGGAUAACUCGGGGAAACUCGAGCUAAUACCGCAUACGUCCUACGGGAGAAAGUGGGGGACCUUCGGGCCUCACGCUAACAGAUGAGCCUAGGUCGGAUUAGCUAGUUGGUGGGGUAAAGGCCUACCAAGGCGACGAUCCGUAGCUGGUCUGAGAGGAUGAUCAGCCACACUGGAACUGAGACACGGUCCAGACUCCUACGGGAGGCAGCAGUUGGGAAUAUUGGACAAUGGGCGCAAGCUGAUCCAGCCAUGCCGCGUGUGUKAAGAAGGUCUUCGGAUUGUAAAGCACUUUAAGUUGGGAGGAAGGGCGCUUGGCUAAUACCCAAGGGUUUUGACGUUACCAACAGAAUAAGCACCGGCUAACUUCGUGCCAMCAGCCGCGGUAAUACGGAGGGGUGCCAGCCUUAAUCGGAAUUACUGGGCGUAAAGCGCGCUUAGGCGGUUUKUUAAGUUGGAGGUGAAAUCCCCGGGCUCAACCUGGGGAGUGCC